AAACUAGAUACAAGCGAGCGGCGGACGGGUGAGUAACACGUGGGUAACCUGCCCAAGAGACUGGGAUAACACCUGGAAACAGAUGCUAAUACCGGAUAACAACACUAGACGCAUGUCUAGAGUUUGAAAGAUGGUUCUGCUAUCACUCUUGGAUGGACCUGCGGUGCAUUAGCUAGUUGGUAAGGUAACGGCUUACCAAGGCAAUGAUGCAUAGCCGAGUUGAGAGACUGAUCGGCCACAUUGGGACUGAGACACGGCCCAAACUCCUACGGGAGGCAGCAGUAGGGAAUCUUCCACAAUGGACGAAAGUCUGAUGGAGCAACGCCGCGUGAGUGAAGAAGGGUUUCGGCUCGUAAAGCUCUGUUGGUAGUGAAGAAAGAUAGAGGUAGUAACUGGCCUUUAUUUGACGGUAAUUACUUAGAAAGUCACGGCUAACUACGUGCCAGCAGCCGCGGUAAUACGUAGGUGGCAAGCGUUGUCCGGAUUUAUUGGGCGUAAAGCGAGUGCAGGCGGUUCAAUAAGUCUGAUGUGAAAGCCUUCGGCUCAACCGGAGAAUUGCAUCAGAAACUGUUGAACUUGAGUGCAGAAGAGGAGAGUGGAACUCCAUGUGUAGCGGUGGAAUGCGUAGAUAUAUGGAAGAACACCAGUGGCGAAGGCGGCUCUCUGGUCUGCAACUGACGCUGAGGCUCGAAAGCAUGGGUAGCGAACAGGAUUAGAUACCCUGGUAGUCCACGCCGUAAACGAUGAGUGCUAAGUGUUGGGGAGGUUUCCGCCUCUCAGUGCUGCAGCUAACGCAUUAAGCACUCC
rnacentral:rRNA from 1 species